rnacentral:rRNA from 1 species
AUGGUUGUUUUGUGUGUAGUAAAGAAAGUCUUUAUUCUCUUAACAAGGAUGGAAAGUAUAAUGGCAUACAAAAACCAACAUGGACAACCCAGAUCUGGAACUCCAGAACAAUCUGACACUCCAGUGUCUGCUAAUGACAUGUGUUCCCUUGCUGAAUGGCCAUCCCAUGCUCGCCGCAACCGUGCGCUACUACAGGAUGAAGCUGGUGGAUAGAAGAAGAAAGGCCGAGAUGUUCUAAAAGGUUUUAAAGCAUCUAAGAAGCGUUUUGCCAAUGGAUCUGCAAAGCUAAAUAUUACAUUCUCUGAAAAAUUGUGUGGUACAGUAGGAAUGAACUAUCGUUCGUUCAAGGACGACGUGGCCGUCAUAAUGAAAAGAAAGUUACCACUCACAGGAGUGAGGACGUGGUCGGACAUUCACCCUACCAUCCACCGACUCAUUGUUGCAGAUAUGAUAGAUAGAUGGGACCUGGAAGAUACACCAGAAACAGAAGAAAAGAUUCUCAAAAUUGCGAAAGAGCGAUAUAGAGGCUGGCGAUCAACUCCAAGCUCCACUUACAAGGCAUACAAAACAGAUGCAGCUAGAUUGGCUAAUCUGCCGGAAGAUUUACAACCAGAAGAGUGGGAAUGGAUGAUUGAGUACUUCGGCACUGAUUCAAAAUUUCAAGAUCGCAGUCAAAAGAACGUCGAUAACUAUAAGAAACAGAAGACAAAACACAGAAUCGGAUCAAAAUCUUACUCGCAAGUUAGUUUUGAGAAGAGAAACUUGGAAACUGGGGAAGAGCCAGAUUGUAUUGCUCUGUGAGAACUCACCCACACGAACGAUGGAACAUGGUCUAACACAGAUUUCCAGAAAGUUUACGACAAAGCACUUGAAUAGGUUAAAAACAAAGAAACUGAAAUUGAAGGUCCACUUUCAAGUGAGCAGAAAAACAAUAUUUUUCAGACCGCAUACAAAGACACUCUGGAAUGCAAGUCAUCGCAGCCUCGUGGUUACGGAUACAUGGCGAAAACUUCAACUGGUUCUGAAAGGUUUCGUAUCCAGAUUGAAGAGCAGGCUCGUGCUACAGCAGCCACCCAGGAGCGAAACUCUCAGCUCAGCCAGCAGGUCAUAGAAUUACAAGAUCAACUACAAGUUGAACGUGCAAACAUACAAGAGAGGAUUAACUUGGAGCGUGCUGAAAGAGAACAACUUGAGGAGAGGUUAAAAGAAGAGCGUGCUGAAAGGGAAAUAUUGUUGCAAGAGAAGCGAACAUCAAGACUGGAAUUUGAAAAAACAUGA